rnacentral:lncRNA from 1 species
CACCAUCCCUACAUAAGUGUUCUUCAGCGUUUCAACAACUCAGCAACUCUCACACUUCAAACUACUACAGAUCAAGCUGACCAACAGUCGCAGAAUGGGGAACACCAACACUGCCAGCCACCUCAACAACCAGAGCAAGAUGAACAUCCGCGCUUUCCUGUCUAAUGCCAAGCUAGAGAUCGACGCCUUCAUCAUCUCCAACGCUGCCGCUGGCAGCAGUGACACCUUGACCAAGCUGCAGCAGCAGCCCGGUGGCAAGAAGUUCAACUUCAGGAAAGACGUGCAGUGUGUCCGUGUGCUGGCCUUGCAGAGUCAAGAGCUGCCCUGGGUUGAUAACAAAUUUAUCUCCGUCUUUGUGGAGGACGAGAACGAUGAAAACAUAUGUUCCAGACAGAUUGUUCAGUGCAUGGCUUUGUCCUCUCCUGUGUCUUUCAUCUUAUAUGAUGUAUAGCUAUAGCAAUGAUUGAUCCCAUUGAAACUGUACUCUUUGGUUAAUAUCAUUAGAAGGUGCUCUGACCAGUUCCGACAUUGGCCAUUGUCUGGCAUUCAUUAAGGUGGUUUCCCUGAUUUUGAAUCUGUUAAUUGGAACAAACAUGCCAUUGAAAAAGAAGGCUUUACAAAUAUGUAUUUUUUUUUACACAUCUUAACAAGCUGUCAUACCAACACAGAACACACCACAAAACACCUCACAAACAUGUAAACGCACAUUUGUACAUGAACAUCUGAAUGCUGACUCAUCUGUCAGAGAAAUGUAACUAAAACUAUGUCACUUCUUUAGGGACUUUGGUAUCAUUGACAGCUUCUGAAAAACCUGUAUUCUUCUGUAUCCUUCAAAUAAAACUGUUAUAUGACUACAUGCUCUUGGGGAAUUCUUCAGUGGAUGAGCAAUGAGCACUGUGCUCUUCGUUAUUGGGUAGUGAAAGAAUGUUUUGCAUGUCUCUAUAUUGUCUCCCAGUUAAAGCGUGUCAUGUUACCCCUGUGUGAUAGGCCUUAUGUUCCUUCUAUGGUCGUCUGUUCCAGCUCAAAUCAGAGAGUUACGCUCUCCUCUGUCUAACCUUCUCCAUGGUCCAGCUCUGUGGCAAUUCAGAUUACAUGGUUUAACUCAUUCACACAGAUGCCUUUGUGAUGCUGCCCCUUCGAUCUUCAAUGACUUGGCAGAAAACAGAUAAGAAAAC